AAAUAAGAAACAAUAAUUUGUAUUUAGUUUCGACCUAAAAAUUUGAUUUUAAAAAAUCCUUAUUUU
rnacentral:tRNA from 1 species